UACGGAGGGUGCAAGCGUUGUUCGGAUUUACUGGGCGUAAAGGGCGCGUAGGCGGCGCGGUAAGUCACUUGUGAAAUCUCUGAGCUUAACUCAGAACGGCCAAGUGAUACUGCAGUGCUAGAGUGUGGAAGGGGCAAUCGGAAUUCUUGGUGUAGCGGUGAAAUGCGUAGAUAUCAAGAGGAACACCUGAGGUGAAGACGGGUUGCUGGGCCAACACUGACGCUGAGGCGCGAAAGCCAGGGGAGCAAACGGG
rnacentral:rRNA from 1 species